GACGAAAUGGCUAAGUGAUCAAGUUAUUUGUCCACUAUUCAAAAGGCCUCGGGUUCGAGCCCAGGUUUUGGCG
rnacentral:tRNA from 1 species